CUUAAAUAUCGGUUUCCAUGUGUAGGCUAUGUGCUGGAUGGUGUGCUUCCUUUAUGAAAGCCUGAUCAGAGAUUAAGCAGCGAGACAUGAAAGACUCAGAGAAUGAGAAUGAGGAGUGAGAGGCGGAGAAAGACACGAUCAAUCCGGAGACGAAGGAACUUCCACGGAGCUUAAGCAAUUGCAAUCAAAGGAGAGAGACAAAAUAACACAAACAUGUUGAGAAGACAAUCAUGAGAGAGAGAGAGACAGAGAGAGAUCCACAGCAUGCCGCUAAAUGGCAGACAGGCAGAAGGAAAGGGAGCUCGCCAGAGGGGGGACGUGCCAGCACGAGAGCCCCCAGGACGGAUGGACUGCUCUCAUCAGAGGCCAUGUCACGGCCUUUAGUCUUCGCUUCAUCACACAGCGACUGAGGCAACACACAUCAGGCGCAGAAUAUGACUCACCCGUCACUCAUAUCUAUUGGAACAUGGAAACGAACCAAAAUAUAGCUACCAA